UACGUAGGUGGCAAGCGUUGUCCGGAUUUAUUGGGUUUAAAGGGUGCGUAGGCGGCCCUGUAAGUCAGUGCUGAAAUCCCCCGGCUUAACCGGGGGGGUGGCAUUGAUACUGCAGGGCUUGAGUACAGAUGAGGUAGGCGGAAUUGACGGUGUAGCGGUGAAAUGCAUAGAUAUCGUCAAGAACACCGAUAGCGAAGGCAGCUUACUGGGCUGUAACUGACGCUGAUGCACGAAAGUGUGGGGAUCAAACAGG
rnacentral:rRNA from 1 species